UCCAGACUCCUACGGGAGGCAGCAGUGGGGAAUAUUGCACAAUGGGGGGGAACCCUGAUGCAGCGACGCCGCGUGGGUGAAGGAGCACCUCGAUGCGUAAAGCCCUAUCGGCAGGGAAGAAACAGACGGUACCUGACUAAGAAGCCCCGGCUAACUACGUGCCAGCAGCCGCGGUAAUACGUAGGGGGCAAGCGUUAUCCGGAUUCACUGGGUGUAAAGGGAGCGUAGACGGCGACGCAAGUCUGGAGUGAAAGCCCGCGGCUCAACUGCGGGACUGCUUUGGAAACUGUUCAACUGGAGUGCUGGAGAGGUAAGCGGAAUUCCUAGUGUAGCGGUGAAAUGCGUAGAUAUUAGGAGGAACACCAGUGGCGAAGGCGGCUUACUGGACAGUAACUGACGUUGAGGCUCGAAAGCGUGGGGAGCAAACAGGAUUAGAUACCCUGGUA
rnacentral:rRNA from 1 species